rnacentral:rRNA from 1 species
UGCCAGCAGCCGCGGUAAUACGUAGGGUGCGAGCGUUAAUCGGAAUUACUGGGCGUAAAGCGUACGUAGGCGGAUCAGAAAGUAAGGGGUGAAAUCCCACGGCUCAACCGUGGAACUGCCUCUUAAACUCCUGGUCUUGAGUUCGAGAGAGGUGAGUGGAACUCCGAGUGUAGAGGUGAAAUUCGUAGAUAUUCGGAAGAACACCAGUGGCGAAGGCGGCUCACUGGCUCGAUACUGACGCUGAGGUACGAAAGUGUGGGGAUCAAACAGGAUUAGAUA